AUGUGCAAAGGUGAAAACAUUUAAAAAACCACAAUAACAACAACUACAAAACAAACUUGAAGAGUGCGCAGAUUGCGUGAUUUCACAUCUGGGUUGCAAACUAUAUUAUACCACGUGACCCAGGCGAAAGAGCCUAUACAUAUAAAUGAGAUGGCAGAAGUAAAGGGAAACUUACCUUAUAGAUCUUGUUUGACGGGAUUCUUUACUGUCAAGGAUUCAAGUGUUUUCUUAGCAGCCUCGCUGGAUUUCAUUUUAAAUUACUUCCAUCGCUCUUAAAGUAUUCAAAGAAAGACAUUGUUCUGUUUCUGUCGUUGCACAAAACAUCAAGUCUUUUUGUGUAGACAAACAUGCAUCAAAUAAUGUUCUCUGCUGCACUUGUCCUGGGAUUGUUGGGUCAAGCUGUUUCUGAAGACCUAAAUACUGCUCUUGCAUCUACAAGUCCACAAUGUCAAUCGAAUAUUACAAACUGUAUAGCCUCAAACACUGCGCUCCAAAAGUUGUACAAUUCAUCCAAAUAUUGUGAAAUCAUUAGAUACUCAACACCAAGUUUCGCUUCUCUGACAUGUCUGGUGGUAGACAGCGGCUGUACUCUGACCGAGUACUUCAGAAUGAGAAAUGCUGCUUGUGGAACAAAUUCAACAACUGGUCUGGAUACUGCCGAAAACGUUGGGAUCGCUCUUGUUUCAAGCAGUCAGCAAUGUAGAUCGAAAGUUAAUAUCUGCAUAGCUUCAGACACCACGGUCAAUAAUUUGUACAUGUCUUCAAAGUAUUGUGAAGCCAUUAGAUACUCAAGUUCAAGUGUCGACUCUCAGACUUGUCUUGUGGUAAACACUGGCUGUUCCCAGAGCGAAUACGACAACUUGAGGACAGCUGCAUGCGGUGCGAGUUCCCUAAUGGUUGGAACUCUAUCUCUUCUAUUAUCUUUCUUUGUUUUUUUAUUGAGCAAACUGUAACGACACUGCCUGGAGACCUAAUUGUUUGUAACCUAUUUAUUCCUAUUAAUGUAGGUCUAAAUAUUGUUUUGAAAUGGAUUAUUCAUAAAUGCUACAUUGAAUAUAUACGCUGUAUUGUCACUAAACAAAAGUUGAGAAAAUAGUUGUAGAUAUAAUAAUACAAAUCAAUAACGUGAAAAAAUAUAGUUGGAAGUGAAAUCUUUCUUAGCGAACAAAACAUCAUAUGAUAAAGUAGAUGGCGUAUUAAGACAAUUUGUUUUGUAUUAGCAAUGUACAUGGUUACAACAUUGUAAGUUAAACAUUACAGUAAAUAAAACGCAAUAACUAAAA